GAUGAACGCUGGCGGCGUGCCUAAUACAUGCAAGUCGAGCGAACAGACGAGGAGCUUGCUUCUCUGAUGUUAGCGGCGGACGGGUGAGUAACACGUGGAUAACCUACCUAUAAGACUGGGAUAACUUCGGGAAACCGUAGCUAAUACCGGAUAAUAUAUUGAACCGCAUGGUUCAAUAGUGAAAGACGGUCUUGCUGUCACUUAUAGAUGGAUCCGCGCUGCAUUAGCUAGUUGGUAAGGUAACGGCUUACCAAGGCAACGAUGCAUAGCCGACCUGAGAGGGUGAUCGGCCACACUGGAACUGAGACACGGUCCAGACUCCUACGGGAGGCAGCAGUAGGGAAUCUUCCGCAAUGGGCGAAAGCCUGACGGAGCAACGCCGCGUGAGUGAUGAAGGUCUUCGGAUCGUAAAACUCUGUUAUUAGGGAAGAACAUAUGUGUAAGUAACUGUGCACAUCUUGACGGUACCUAAUCAGAAAGCCACGGCUAACUACGUG
rnacentral:rRNA from 1 species